AAGACCUUACGCUUUUGGAGCGGCCGAUGUCUGAUUAGCUUGUUGGUGAGGUAAAGGCUUACCAAGGCUUCGAUCAGUAGCUGGUCUGAGAGGACGACCAGCCACACUGGGACUGAGACACGGCCCAGACUCCUACGGGAGGCAGCAGUGGGGAAUUUUGGACAAUGGGGGCAACCCUGAUCCAGCCAUGCCGCGUGAGUGAAGAAGGCCUUCGGGUUGUAAAGCUCUUUCAGCCGGAACGAAACGGUUACGGUUAAUACCCGUGAUUACUGACGGUACCGGAAGAAGAAGCACCGGCUAACUACGUGCCAGCAGCCGCGGUAAUACGUAGGGUGCGAGCGUUAAUCGGAAUUACUGGGCGUAAAGCGUGCGCAGGUGGUUUUGUAAGUCAGAUGUGAAAGCCCCGGGCUCAACCUGGGAACU
rnacentral:rRNA from 1 species